GAUGAAGAACGCAGCGAAAUGCGAUAAGUAAUGUGAAUUGCAGAAUUCAGUGAAUCAUCGAAUCUUUGAACGCACAUUGCGCCCCCUGGUAUUCCGGGGGGCAUGCCUGUUCGAGCGUCAUUUCACCACUCAAGCCUCGCUUGGUAUUGGGCAACGCGGUCCGCCGCGUGCCUCAAAUCGUCCGGCUGGGUCUUCUGUCCCCUAAGCGUUGUAGAAACUAUUCGCUAAAGGGUGUUCGGGAGGCUACGCCGUAAAACAACCCCAUUUCUAAGGUUGACCUCGGAUCAGGUAGGGAUACCCGCUGAACUUAAGCAUAUCAAUAGCGGAGGA
rnacentral:misc_RNA from 1 species